AACUACACAAAAUCGUGUGGGUGAGAUCCUGCGUUCAGGUUCGAGCCGAGCGAAGCGAGACAGCAACGCGCGAGCGUUGACCCGUAGGACGAGUCAUCCCGCACGACCCACCA
rnacentral:sRNA from 2 species